rnacentral:rRNA from 1 species
GAUGAACGCUGGCGGCGUGCCUCAAACAUGCAAGUCGAGCGGGGCUAUGUAAUAUCGCAAGGUAGAACAUAGCCUAGCGGCGAACGGGUGAGUAACACGUGGGUAACCUGCCUGGAAGACAGGGAUAACGAUUCGAAAGGGUCGCUAAUACCUGAUAAUAUCCUUUCAUCGCAUGGUGAUAGGAAGAAAGGGGAAACCCGCUUUCAGAUGGGCCCGCGUCCCAUCAGCUAGUUGGUAAGGUAAAGGCUUACCAAGGCGACGACGGGUAGCCGGUCUGAGAGGAUGUACGGCCACACUGGGACUGAGAUACGGCCCAGACUCCUACGGGAGGCAGCAGUUGGGAAUCUUAGGCAAUGGACGAAAGUCUGACCUAGCGACGCCGCGUGAGGGAAGAAGGGCCUUCGGGUUGUAAACCUCUGUCAUGGGGAAGAAGUAAGUGACGGUACCCCAAGAGGAAGCCCCUGCUAACUACGUGCCAGCAGCCGCGGUAAGGAGUAGUACA